UACAGAGGGUGCAAGCGUUAAUCGGAAUUACUGGGCGUAAAGGGUGCGUAGGUGGUUCUUUAAGUCAGAUGUGAAAUCCCUGGGCUCAACCUAGGAAUUGCGUUUGAGACUGAAGAGCUAGAGUACAGGAGAGGGAAGUGGAAUUUCCGGUGUAGCGGUGAAAUGCGUAGAUAUCGGAAGGAACAUCAGUGGCGAAGGCGACUUCCUGGACUGUUACUGACACUGAGGCACGAAAGCGUGGGGAGCGAACAGG
rnacentral:rRNA from 1 species